GAAAUCACAACAGAUUCUGCAAAGAUGCAAAAGAAAUCAUUGGCUUUAUCAUCUCAUGAAUUUCAAUUGCUUUCCUUAAAAUCAUGAAUAAUUACUUUUGAACUAUAAUUUGCUGUUGCUUGUUUUGCAUUAAAAUUUAACUACUAAAUGAAACUACUUUCAAAAGGGAAGAAUUUGGGAAAAGUGUUUGGUAUGAUACAUGUUGAGUUGGGCAGCACAGCACAGACACUAGUAACACUUUUUCAGUGUGGCUAAAACUCACUUAGCUAAGCAGGUACUCAUCCAUUGCAAACCCACAGCAGUAUUCAUAACAUCUAGCUGCAGGUUAAUAAUGCUCUCUCUCUCUCUCUCUCUCUCUCUCUCUCUCUCUCUCUCUCUCUCUCUCUCUCUCUCUCUCUCUCUCUCCAUCCAAGGUGGAAGUGAUGAUAUAAUCAACUGACUUUGAUGUGUUAUCCUUUGAGGGGUUGACCCAAGAUUAUUCUCACAUCACAAAAAUCACAAAAUGCUAACAGAAAUAUCUGGACAAGUCAUUGUCAAGAACAAGCCUUGACACUGAGGACAAUCUUCGAGGAUGAGGACAGCCUGUGAGGAUGAUCAUCUAGGACCAACAGAAGUUACUUCAUACUGUCAGCCAGUAAUUGUGCGUCAUUAUUGGACUGUGAAGGGGCACAAAACACCAAGCCAGCAAAGUCUUCCUGAAGCCAUAAGUUAUAAAUUGACAGUACUGCUACUGUACUUCCAUUGCUGUUCACAUCAAAUCUUCACUGAUUUUCUGACACUAAAUUGUUCAAUAUAACUCAGAACUUUACAGUUACCCCCCACACUGUUUUCUUUACAAAUCAGUGGGGAUGACAGUUCUGUCCUCUACCACAAAUUAUAGCCAGUGUAUUUCAUCUAUCUUUUUCUCUCUGACUCCUUGCUUCCUCCAGCAGUAUCCCCAAAAAGGGGUGGCCACGACAGAAAAGCCUCCACCUCUCCUUAUCCAUACACUCCCCAGUACUCAGCUCAAGUCUCCUGCUCUGCUUUCACCUUUCACACAAGUACUCCAUAACUCUAUACUUCCAUCUCAGUGUCCUUUCUAUCUUGUAAUGGCCCUCCACUUCACUACUAUACAUCUUCACAAGCUGUUCAUGCUUCAUUCUUUCAACAUGUCCAAGCCACCUCAAUGUACUUCUUUUCAUCCAUUCCACUACUUUACAUCUGACUGACCAACCAUUUCUAUCCAUCCAUAUCACAUCACUCAGUCAAUAUUUUCAGGAACUCCUAGAGUAAAACUUAUGCAAAACACUGUCAGGAAGCUGAGGAGGCAAGUUAUCACUCUGGGGAGGCAUCAAGAAAACACCUCAGCAGAAGCCUUCCACCACUAGUUCCCAGCCAAGAGCAUCACAGUGCACCUGUCUGAUGCCCCCUGGAUGGCACUCCGCAUUAAAAGGUCAGCGGACCUGGGCAUUCCACUCCUGCCCGGUCCUAUACAGAAAGCUAAGAAACAGAAUGAUCAGGGAGAUUAAGGCUGCCAAGGCAAGCUAUUAUCCGGACAAGAUACAUCAUCUCAAGCUGGCCAACAACACACAGUGGUAUGCUAGGAUCAAAGCUUUGUGUGGCCUACAAAAGCACACUUCAUCUCUUCCUUGCACCUCACACCUUCCUGCUAAUCUCACAGCUCUGGAGAUUAAUGAUCACUUUGCCGCUAUCUGUCAGACCUUUCCUUCCCUCCACACCACUCCGCUUCCUGCCUAUCUUCCUGCUCCCUCCCCUCCCCCCACUGUCCAGGUGAUGGAUGUUUUAAAGAGAAUACUUAAAUUUAAACCAAGAUCCACCACACCCACUGACCUUCCCAUAAA